rnacentral:lncRNA from 1 species
UCUCGCGCUGGCCCCAUGGCCUCGGCCUCCUCCUCCUCCUGCAGCUGCUGCCGCCGUCGACCCUCAGCCAGGACCGGCUGGACGCGCCGCCGCCGCCCGCUGCGCCGCUGCCGCGCUGGUCUGGCCCCAUCGGGGUGAGCUGGGGGCUGCGGGCGGCCGCAGCCGGGGGCGCGUUUCCCCGCGGCGGCCGUUGGCGUCGCAGCGCGCCGGGCGAGGACGAGGAGUGCGGCCGGGUCCGGGACUUCGUCGCCAAGCUGGCCAACAACACGCACCAGUUGUCAAAAUCUCUUGAACAUCGUUUUUCGUCUGUAUAAAUAAUCAGGACCCAGUAACGCUGUUAGGCCCCAGGAAGGUGAAGGAGUAAUUAACUCUUGAGCGCUUGCAGAAGUUGGGCUGCGCAGAAGCAAAGCAUGUGUUUGAUGAUCUCAGAGGCUCAGUAUCCUUGUCCUGGGUUGGAGAUAGCACUGGG